UUGUUACUCCCUCUGAUCCAUAUUACUUGUCUAAAAUUUGCCUAAAUAUGAAUGUAUUUAUGUUUAAAAAGUGUCUAGAUACUUGUAAUAUUUGGACAAGUAAUAUGGGUCGGAGGGAGUACCAA
rfam:Brachypodium distachyon strain Bd21 chromosome 1, whole genome shotgun sequence.